AGAGCGAACGCUGGCGGCAUGCUUAACACAUGCAAGUCGCACGGGCAGCAAUGUCAGUGGCGGACGGGUGAGUAACGCGUAGGAACGUGUCCUGAGGUGGGGGACAACCCCGGGAAACUGGGGCUAAUACCGCAUAUGGGCUGAGGCCCAAAGCCGAGAGGCGCCUUUGGAGCGGCCUGCGUCCGAUUAGGUAGUUGGUGGGUAAAGGCCUACCAAGCCUGCGAUCGGUAGCUGGUCUGAGAGGACGACCAGCCACACUGGGACUGAGACACGGCCCAGACUCC
rnacentral:rRNA from 1 species